rnacentral:sRNA from 1 species
GGAACCUGGAGCGUAGCUGGUGCGCCUCCAUAUGCUGCACGUUCAUGGGAAGUAAAAAAUUAACAUGUCACUUUCAUCGCAGGUUAAACCUGAACGGGCGAUAAGAGCAACAUCUUUUUCAACUCUCUGUCGAGCAGCUUUAAUUCAGUUGUAUAAAGGAUUGGUACAAACAACGAUGAAACGACGACGACGAAGCGGGUCAUUUGUUAAACUACAGCAACUGCUGUUUCCCUCUUUGUCCUGAUUAUUUCAGAACU